rnacentral:rRNA from 1 species
CAGCCGCCGCGGGAAUACGUAGGUGGCAAGCGUUGUCCGGAAUUAUUGGGCGUAAAGGGCUCGCAGGCGGUUUCUUAAGUCUGAUGUGAAAGCCCCCGGCUCAACCGGGGAGGGUCAUUGGAAACUGGGAAACUUGAGUGCAGAAGAGGAGAGUGGAAUUCUACGUGUAGCGGUGAAAUGCGUAGAGAUGUGGAGGAACACCAGUGGCGAAGGCGACUCUCUGGUCUGUAACUGACGCUGAGGAGCGAAAGCGUGGGGAGCGAACAGGAUUAGAUACCCCAGUAGUCCCUGUCUCUUAUAC